AUUGAACGCUGGCGGCAGGCCUAACACAUGCAAGUCGAGCGGAUGAAGGGAGCUUGCUCCUGGAUUCAGCGGCGGACGGGUGAGUAAUGCCUAGGAAUCUGCCUGGUAGUGGGGGAUAACGUCCGGAAACGGGCGCUAAUACCGCAUACGUCCUGAGGGAGAAAGUGGGGGAUCUUCGGACCUCACGCUAUCAGAUGAGCCUAGGUCGGAUUAGCUAGUUGGUGGGGUAAAGGCCUACCAAGGCGACGAUCCGUAACUGGUCUGAGAGAAUGAUCAGUCACAGGGGAAGUGAAAAACGGACAAGACUACGAAGGGAGGGAGGAGGGGGAAAUGGGGGAAAGGGGGAGAAAGUAUGAAACAACAAGGGGGGGUGUGAGAAAAAGGUCUUGGGAUAGUAAAGAAGUUAAUGGGGGGAGAAAGGGAAGAAAGUUAAUACUUGGCGUUUUGGACGGGAAAAAAAAAAGAAGAACAGGAAAACUGAGGG
rnacentral:rRNA from 1 species